AGUGAAAGAGGGGGGAAGGCGGAACGCAUGCAAGUCGAACGGCAGCACAGUAAGAGCUUGCUCUUACGGGUGGCGAGUGGCGGACGGGUGAGGAAUACAUCGGAAUCUACUUUUUCGUGGGGGAUAACGUAGGGAAACUUACGCUAAUACCGCAUACGACCUACGGGUGAAAGCAGGGGAUCUUCGGACCUUGCGCGAUUGAAUGAGCCGAUGUCGGAUUAGCUAGUUGGCGGGGUAAAGGCCCACCAAGGCGACGAUCCGUAGCUGGUCUGAGAGGAUGAUCAGCCACACUGGAACUGAGACACGGUCCAGACUCCUACGGGAGGCAGCAGUGGGGAAUAUUGGACAAUGGGCGCAAGCCUGAUCCAGCCAUACCGCGUGGGUGAAGAAGGCCUUCGGGUUGUAAAGCCCUUUUGUUGGGAAAGAAAAGCAGCAGGUUAAUACCCCGCUGUUCUGACGGUACCCAAAGAAUAAGCACCGGCUAACUUCGUG
rnacentral:rRNA from 1 species